rnacentral:rRNA from 1 species
CGCAUGGUUCAAAAGUGAAAGACGGUCUUGCUGUCACUUAUAGAUGGAUCCGCGCUGCAUUAGCUAGUUGGUAAGGUAACGGCUUACCAAGGCAACGAUGCAUAGCCGACCUGAGAGGGUGAUCGGCCACACUGGAACUGAGACACGGUCCAGACUCCUACGGGAGGCAGCAGUAGGGAAUCUUCCGCAAUGGGCGAAAGCCUGACGGAGCAACGCCGCGUGAGUGAUGAAGGUCUUCGGAUCGUAAAACUCUGUUAUUAGGGAGGAACAUAUGUGUAAGUAACUGUGCACAUCUUGACGGUACCUAAUCAGAAAGCCACGGCUAACUACGUGCCAGCAGCCGCGGUAAUACGUAGGUGGCAAGCGUUAUCCGGAAUUAUUGGGCGUAAAGCGCGCGUAGGCGGUUUUUUAAGUCUGAUGUGAAAGCCCACGGCUCAACCGUGGAGGGGCAUUGGAAACUG